rnacentral:tRNA from 1 species
AGCAAUUUGGCGCAGCGGAAGCGCGCCGGGCUCAUAACCCGGAGGUCGCAUGAUCGAAACAUGCAAUUGCUAA